UUCUGCCCAUGGCGGGGAAGGAUAGCUAGCUCACAGGUUCGACUCGAGCGCCAGCGAGAGAGCGUUGCCGCAGGCAACGACCCGAAGGGCGAAGCGCGCAGCGCUGAGUAAUCCUUCCCCCACCACCA
rnacentral:sRNA from 1 species